GACGAACGCUGGCGGCGUGCUUAACACAUGCAAGUCGAACGGAAAGGCCCUGCUUUUGUGGGGUGCUCGAGUGGCGAACGGGUGAGUAACACGUGAGUAACCUGCCCUUGACUUUGGGAUAACUUCAGGAAACUGGGGCUAAUACCGGAUAGGAGCUCCUGCUGCAUGGUGGGGGUUGGAAAGUUUCGGCGGUUGGGGAUGGACUCGCGGCUUACCAGCUUGUUGGUGGGGUAGUGGCUUACCAAGGCUUUGACGGGUAGCCGGCCUGAGAGGGUGACCGGCCACAUUGGGACUGAGAUACGGCCCAGACGCCUACGGGAGGCAGCAGUGGGGAAUAUUGCACAAUGGGCGGAAGCCUGAUGAAGCAGCGCCGCGUGCGGGAUGACGGCCUUCGGGUUGUAAACCGCUUUCGCCUGUGACGAAGCGGGAGUGACGGUAAUGGGUAAAGAAGCACCGGCUAACUACGUG
rnacentral:rRNA from 1 species